CGCGAAUGGCUCAUUCAACAGCUAUAAUUCACUUGAUUUUGACACAAUCCUACUUGGAUAACUGUGGUAAUUCUAGAGCUAAUACAUGCAUUAAAGCUCUGACCUCACGGAAAGAGUGCAUUUAUUAGAACAAAACCAAGCGGCUUCGGCUGUUUUCGGUUGACUCAUAGUAACUGAGCUGAUCGCAUGGUCUUGCACCGGCGACGUGUCUUUCGAGUAUCUGCCGUAUCAACUUUCGAUGGUAGUGUAUCUGACUACCAUGGUGAUCACGCGUAACGGAGAAUAAGGGUUCGACUCCGGAGAGUUCGCCUGAGAAAUCGCGAACACAUCUAAGGAAGGCAGCAGGCGCGAAAAUUACCCACUCUCAGCACGAGGAGGUAGUGACGAAAAAUAACGAGACCGUUCUCUUAUGAGGUCGGUCAUCGGAAUGGGUACAAUUUAAACCCUUUAACGAGUAUCUAUGAGAGGGCAAGUCUGGUGCCGGCAGCCGCGGUAAUUCCAGCU
rnacentral:rRNA from 1 species